CGCGGUAAUUCCAGCUCCAAUAGCGUAUAUUAAAGUUGUUGCAGUUAAAAAGCUCGUAGUUGGAUUUCGGAAGGUCCUUAGCAAUCCGCCCCUUCGGGGAGCGGGUUGCUGGCCUCCUAUGUUCCUAACGGUCCUCGUCCGCGAGGGCGGGGAAUCAACCGCUAGGAUCGUUUACUUUGAGGAAAUUAGAGUGUUCAAAGCAGGCGUAACUCGCCUCCGAAUACGUUAGCAUGGGAUAAUGGAAUACGACUUCGGUCUUGUUUCGUUGGUUUCGCUUGGCUGAAGUAAUGAUUGAUAGGGACAGUUGGGGGCAUUAGUAUUUAGUUGUCAGAGGUGAAAUUCUAGGAUUUACUAAAGACUGACCAAUGCGAAAGCAUUUGCCAAGGAUGUUUUCAUUAAUCAAGAACGAAAGUAGGGGGAUCGAAGACGAUCAGAUACCGUCGUAGUCUCUACCGUAAACUAUGCCGACCAGGGAUCCGGAGAGUUUGCAUGGAUGACUCCCCGGGCACCUUGUGAGAAAUCAUAAGUGUUUGGGUUUUGGGGGGAGUAUGGUCGCAAGGCUGAAACUUAAAGGAAUUGACGGAAGGGCACCACCAGGAGUGGAACCUGCGGCUUAAUUUGACUCAACACGGGGAAACUUACGAGGUCAGGACACUGUGAGGAUUGACAGAUUGAAAGCUCUUUCUUGAUUCAGUGGGUGGUGGUGCAUGGCCGUUCUUAGUUGGUGGAGUGAUUUGUCUGGUUAA
rnacentral:rRNA from 1 species